UCCCCCUUCUGUCUUCUCUGCUUAGCUCCCCCUGCCCCAGCACUGCACAGUGGAUCGUUCCAUAUGAUUUGGUCUGGAAGGAGUUCCAGAGCGGGUAGAGGAAUAGGUGAAGAGUGAUGUGGUGAGUUCCUUCCACACAAGUCAAUGUGCCGAGCUUGCCAUAUCCAAUUUUACCAUUUUCCACUUCUCUUACAGAAAGAAAACUGCCUCUGUGGGGACCUCAGCAUGCCAGAGACUAGACUGAGAUCAUCUUAUUUGAGCCGAGGCAGGAUUUGAUUAAACUCAGAUUAUCAGAGGUGUAAGAUUGUUUCAUUAGCAAAAAUGGGUCAUAUGAAACCCCCUUCAUCAGCUGCACCACAUCAUGACACGACGGUUCUCUCACAUUGCCUCUCUUCCAUGCAGCUGGAAUCGCUUUCUCGCUCAACACUAAACUAUGGGAUGUUUGCAAUUAAGCUCCCCCCCCCUUUAAAAGUAGCAUUCAGAGCUCCAUAAAGUCAUCUGGAAGUGCCAUGAACCUUUGGACUGAGAUGGAUGUGCACAUGGCUGCCAGGGCUGGAUAGCUAUUGGCCCAGAUGUGAAGAUUUGUGUUGGCACUGGGACACAGGAAUGUCAAAGUUUGAGAGACUCUGGCCAGAGUCCUGAUCUCUCCAGAUGGUCACAGGAUAUAAAGUGCAGCUGGGAGGCAAGCUCCAGAACGCUCCUAGAGAAGCUCUGAGGCUGCAGAAUUGCAUUAGACGAAAAGGAGGAGAUGAGGAAACUUCUGGUGCUGCUACUCCUAACCCUGGCAGCCUUCUGCUAUUGUGCAAGAGAUUCAAAGGACACUUUGGAAUCACACGAUGUUGAAGGUGUUAAGGUAAAAAGAGAAAUGGCUAAUGCCUUUGUGAGGAGGCAGAAGAGGUCCUACCCCUAUUAUGAAAGGUAAAAUCUUCCCUGCCUCACCAGUUGGGCUAAGGACUGAACUCUGUAUUGAUUAUUUCAGAGGGGGAUA
ensembl:lncRNA